GAUGAACGCUGGCGGCGUGCCUAAUACAUGCAAGUAGAACGCUGAAGGAGGAGCUUGCUCUUCUGGAUGAGUUGCGAACGGGUGAGUAACGCGUAGGUAACCUGCCUGGUAGCGGGGGAUAACUAUUGGAAACGAUAGCUAAUACCGCAUGACAACAGUUAUUGCAUGAUAACUGUUUAAAAGGGGCAACUGCUCCACUACCAGAUGGACCUGCGUUGUAUUAGCUAGUUGGUGAGGUAACGGCUCACCAAGGCGACGAUACAUAGCCGACCUGAGAGGGGGAUCGGCCACACUGGGACUGAGACACGGCCCAGACUCCUACGGGAGGCAGCAGUAGGGAAUCUUCGGCAAUGGACGGAAGUCUGACCGAACAACGCCGCGUGAGUGAAGAAGGUUUUCGGAUCGUAAAGCUCUGUUGUAAGAGAAGAACGAGUGUGAGAGUGGAAAGUUCACACUGUGACGGUAUCUUACCAGAAAGGGACGGCUAACUACGUG
rnacentral:rRNA from 1 species